rnacentral:rRNA from 1 species
UACGAAGGUCCCAAGCGUUGUUCGGAAUUACUGGGCGCAAAGCGCGCGUAGGUGGUUUGUUAAGUUGGAUGUGAAAGCCCCGGGCUCAACCUGGGAACUGCAUUCAAAACUGACAAGCUAGAGUAUGGUAGAGGGUGGUGGAAUUUCCUGUGUAGCGGUGAAAUGCGUAGAUAUAGGAAGGAACACCAGUGGCGAAAGCGACUUCCUGGACCAAUACUGACGCUCAUGUGCGAAAGCGUGGGGAGCAAACAGG